GAAAUGCGAUAAGUAGUGUGAAUUGCAGAAUUUAGCGAAUCAUCGAAUCUUUGAACGCACAUUGCGCCCCUUGGUAUUCCAUGGGGCAUGCCUGUUCGAGCGUCAUUUCAACCCUCAAGCACUGCUUGGUGUUGGGCGUUUGUCCCGCCUACGCGCGUGGACUCGCCUCAAAGUCAUUGGCAGUUGUUCCCCUUCGGCUCGUAAGCGCAGCACAGUCGGCGCCCGGAGCUCUGGUGGGAUGGCGUCCAGCAAGCUAUAUUUUCAGGCUUGACCUCGGAUCAGGUAGGGAUACCCGCUGAACUUAAGC
rnacentral:misc_RNA from 1 species